AUUGAACGCUGUCGGCAGGCCUAACACAUGCAAGUCGAACGAGUGGUGGACGGGUGAGUAAUGUCUGGGAACCUGCCUGAUGGAGGGGGAUAACUACUGGAAACGGUAGCUAAUACCGCAUACCAUCGGAUGUGCCCAGAUGGGAUUAGCUAGUAGGUGGGGUAAAGGCUCACCUAGGCGACGAUCCCUAGCUGGUCUGAGAGGAUGACCCGCCAAACUGGAUCUGAGAUACGGGCAAGAGUCCUACGGAAGGCAGAAGUUAUGAAUAGUGCACAAUGGGCGCAAGCCGGAGUCAGCCAGGCCGCGUGUAUGUAGAAUGCGUUCGGGUUGUACAGUACUUUCAGCGGUGAGGCGUUCACCGCAGAAGAAGCAACGGCUAACUCCUUGCCAGCAGCCGCGGUUAGAC
rnacentral:rRNA from 1 species